rnacentral:rRNA from 1 species
GUAGGGAAUAUUGGGCAAUGGAGGCAACUCUGACCCAGCCAUGCCGCGUGCAGGAUGACGGCCCUCUGGGUUGUAAACUGCUUUUAUACGGGAAGAAAAAAUACUACGUGUAGUAUACUGACGGUACCGUAGGAAUAAGGAUCGGCUAACUCCGUGCCAGCAGCCGCGGUAAUACGGAGGAUCCAAGCGUUGUCCGGAUUUAUUGGGUUUAAAGGGUGCGUAGGCGGAUCUUUAAGUCAGUGGUGAAAGCCUGCAGCUUAACUGUAGAAUUGCCAUUGAAACUGAAGAUCUUGAAUGUGGUUAAAGUAGGCGGAAUGUAUCAUGUAGCGGUGAAAUGCUUAGAUAUGAUACAGAACACCGAUAGCGAAGGCAGCUUGCUGAACCAUUAUUGACGCUGAGGCACGAAAGCGUGGGGAGCGAACAGGAUUAGAAACCCGAGUAGUCC